rnacentral:rRNA from 1 species
AUUGAACGCUGGCGGCAUGCCUUACACAUGCAAGUCGAACGGCAGCACGGGAGCAAUCCUGGUGGCGAGUGGCGAACGGGUGAGUAAUAUAUCGGAACGUGCCCAGUAGUGGGGAAUAACUGCUCGAAAGAGCAGCUAAUACCGCAUACGACCUGAGGGGGAAAGGGGGGGAUCGCAAGACCUCUCGCUAUUGGAGCGGCCGAUAUCAGAUUAGCUAGUUGGUGGGGUAAAGGCCUACCAAGGCAACGAUCUGUAGUUGGUCUGAGAGGACGACCAGCCACACUGGGACUGGGACACGGCCCAGACUCCUACGGGAGGCAGCAGUGGGGAAUUUUGGACAAUGGGCGCAAGCCUGAUCCAGCAAUGCCGCGUGCAGGAAGAAGGCCUUCGGGUUGUAAACUGCUUUUGUCAGGGAAGAAAUCCUCUAGGUUAAUACCCUUGGGGGGAUGACGGUACCUGAAGAAUAAGCACCGGCUAACUACGUGCCAGCCGCCGCAGUAACAC